rnacentral:tRNA from 2 species
GCCAAGGUGGCGAAAUUGGUAGACGCACGGGACUCAAAAUCCCGCGAUAGCAAUAUCAUGCCGGUUCGAGUCCGGCCCUUGGCACCA